AUAAGGCAAAAAUGUAAAUAAUAUACCUAACCUACUGAAUAUCAUAGUUUAGCCUAGCCUACCUUAAACGUGCUCAGAACACUUACAUUAGCCUACAAUUGGGCA